UACGUAGGGUGCGAACGUUGUUCGGAAUCACUGGGCAUAAAGAGCGCGUAGGCGGUCUGAUAAGUCCUGUGUGAAAGCCCCCGGCUUAACCGGGGAAUUGCACAGGAUACUGUCAGGCUAGAGUGCAGGAGGGGAGAGCGGAAUUCCUGGUGGAGCGGUGAAAUGCGUAGAUAUCAGGAGGAACGCCGAUGGCGAAAGCAGCUCUCUGGUCUGCAACUGACGCUGAGGUGCGAAAGCUAGGGGAGCAAACGGG
rnacentral:rRNA from 1 species